AUCUGCUGCUCAUGUGGGUCAACAGUGGAAGAAAUUAUAAAGUGUUCUGACUGUGGUCCAGGUGGCUAUUUUUGCCAGAAAUGCCUCAUCCUAGAGCAUUCUCGGCCACAUCUUCAUGUGCAUGAAAUUUUUAAGAAUGGAACCUUUCUUAUGUUAAAAACUACCACACCAGUUUGGACCAGACCAGACAAACAUUCUUGCUUUUCAAGAUAUGAAAAAGAUAUCGUCAUCCUGGAUGAACUAGUUGAAGGAUGUCUACAAAAUUUUAAUGAAUGAAU